rnacentral:tRNA from 1 species
GCGCCUGUAGCUCAGCUGGACAGAGCAUCGGAUUUCUAAUCCGACGGCCGGGGGUUCGAAUCCCUCCAGGCGCG